AAGAGCAUCUUCAGUUUGAUUAAUAAUGUGAUUAAAGCAUAAAUAGCGUCCAUAAGUUGAAAUUUGUUCAUAAACACAAAUGUGGGCCUCCACCAAGAAAUCAAGAUCAACGGUCACAAAUACUCCAUCUUCAUACAUCUCAGCAGCUCCUUUAAGAUAUGGAUUUUUGAUCGUUAGAUCAGGACCCAUUAAUAAUCCUGCGUUGACUGAUACCAUGUUGACUCCUCUGUCCAUAGCCAAUGCCCAUGCUGUCUUCUCUGCUAGUGUUUUUGACAAUGCAUGCCAUAGCUUGAAUUUACGACAAACGUUGAUAUCACUCCAAUGUCUUUCAUCAAGAAGCAUGGAUGCAGAGUUUUGAUCAUUUUCAUGAUGUCCCCAAAUAAUUGCAGUUGCUGAGGAAGUAAACACAACUUUUUCAAUAGUGU
rnacentral:misc_RNA from 1 species